rnacentral:rRNA from 1 species
CCGUAGCCCAAGAGAUCGGGAUAACACCUGGAAACAGAUGCUAAUACCGGAUAACAACAGAUGAUGCCUAUCAACUGUUUAAAAGAUGGUUCUGCUAUCACUCUUGGAUGGACCUGCGGUGCAUUAGCUAGUUGGUAGGGUAACGGCCUGCCAAGGCGAUGAUGCAUAGCCGAGUUGAGAGACUGAUCGGCCACAUUGGGACUGAGACACGGCCCAAACUCCUACGGGAGGCAGCAGAA